GUGUAGUGGGCUUUCACUGUUCAUACAUCUAGUAGUAUUAAUAGACAUUCAUUAUAAACUGAAGUGAUCUACUAAAAUAGGGCCUAUCAGAUUACAUAUUCUAGAUUUCCAUCAUUAAGCUUAAAAUGACAAGUGCCUAGGCAAAAAAAAAAUGGAGGCGGGUUUACUGACAUCACAAAAACGAUAUUGGAUCAACAUCUCAUGCUUUAGCUUUCUCCUCAUCCUAAUCUUCAGUAUCGCAUCAUCCAUACUGGUGGCUUCUGCUCUGAUGGUAGAGAAAUUGUUGCCUAGCAACAGGUACUGGCUAGUGGUAGCAGUACAGAUUACCACCUGGUGUAUUUUACUCAAGACUCUACAACUGUUGAUUUUAUCGGGACUGACUGACAUCAUACUAACACCUUGAACUAGAGUUUAGUCUUUAGUUUGGACAGAUUGUACAUAAACACAAGAAGAGAACAAGUGGAUGUGAACAAGAAGAUGUAUUAAGUUUACAAAUUAAAAUACACUGAACUUGUUUUCAAGUCUUCUUAUAAAGACAUGUUGAUUACUGCCCCUAUCCCAUGUACAUUAUGCAGUUUAUAUGAUAUUCAUUUAAAUAUGAAUGUUUGUAAAUAUUGUCAGCAUAUUGAUAACCUCUUUAUAACAUCGAUGUUUUAUUUAUGACUUUUGUAUACUAUAGCCAUGACUGAUGUUCAGUGACUGAGACAUUGAAGAAACAACACAAGAAGCAGAAAGGGGUUUAUAUUAAAAUGGAAAUAAAAAAAAGAUUUUAAAUGAAAGAAGAUAUUGCUAUUAUAACAUGGUGUAAUACCUGAAUUACAUAUUCUGUUGUCAUUUUAAAUAUUAUGCUGGAUACUUUUUCUUCUUCUGUAUCUUGUCGACAUAAGCUAAAGUAUGUUUUACUUGGCUUUAUACUUUCUAGCCUAUGUAUAAUCAAAAAGACAAUUACAUUGGCACAAUGUCAGAAAUUAUUUUAUUCAACUAAACACAAUUAUAUGAAUUUCAAAUGGUUUAUAUUUAGUAAACAGAACAUUCAAAUUAAUAAAACAGCAGGCAACAAAAUAAUGAUUCCUGUUAAAAAAAAAAGGUUAAUAUAAAGCUGGAGUGAUUUCUGAGUAUUUCUACUACCAAACAGAUUGUCACAAAAGUUUCCCAUGAUGAGGACUUGUAUUAGUUGCAUUAUUUAAAUACCAAGACAGUUUGUCCUUUGUUGCCGGCCUUCUUAACAGCCUGAAGUUUCCUCCUCUUUAAAAGUGGUUCAGACUUGUCUGGAGUAUUCUCUUUAAAAUCAGUUCUUGUCUUAGGUGGGUCUACAGAGUAGAAAGUAUGAUCUUGACAGUAUAAUAGGAACAACUCUGGGAUAAUUAACUCCGCUAAAGGAGAUUUAUUUUAAUAUGUACCACACAGGUAUUACCAUCAAUUUGUUUAUGAAUCCAUGCUAUCUAUUAGUUAUUGAAUAAUUAUCCCAUUAGAAUGGUUUUAUCAAUCUUGGAGUGUAAAAGUUGACUAUGGCAAGGUGAAUGAAUGUUGAACUUAUUAUUUCUUUUACUCAAUAUUCUUGAUACAAUAUGAAAACAAAAUGACUAGACUAGACUAGAGUGCUGGUGUGUAUCACUAUAGUUUGCAUAUCUUUUUGUAAGUAGUUUUUUACUUCUCUAAUAGCCAGGGGACCAAAUCUUGUCAUUAGUUUUACAUUAAAUGAACAUUACUAUCUUAAAUACCUUCAUAUAAUGUCAUCAAUCGAGUGUUCCACUGUUUCAAUUUAGAACAAUGACUCUGUAUACAAAAAAUAACAAAAAGUAAAUAAAAGUAAAAUAAGACUAAGAAAAAAAUUUUGUUUUUUUUUUAGCUGUUUAAAAUUGUUAAAAAGAAAAUAGGGGGGAAAAAAAAGUGUCUGGUUGAAAUAUUUGACUAAUGUAAUUAGAACAAAAGUUAAUCUCUUUGCUGAUGAUUGCUUUGUGUUUAACACAAUUUAAAAAAAAAAUCAAUUGGAGCAUCUCUUCUCUCUCAGAAAAUGGCCAAUGAAUGAGGUAGUUCCGAAUCUCUGACCUACUUUAUAAAAAGUCACGUGACUGUGGUCUUAUACAUGGCAAUAUCUUCCUAUGAUAAGAUGUAGAUCUAGAUUUAGUGCUAGCCUAGAUCUAGUAGUCCUACUAAAUAAUCAUAAAAAUUAGUGAAUAAUUGUAACAUACUUUUUAUUACUUAAAGAGGUAUAGAUCUAGACUAUUUUCAUGUUUAAAUUAAAAUGAAAUCAAUGAGGUCAUUAAUGUAAACAACACACCCACGUGACUGAAAAGAGAUCCGGAACUACCUCAUUAUAUUUAGAGUAACAAAAAAAAAAAACUAAUAUAAAUUAAAAUUAUUUAUCUUAUUCAUGGUAAACCAAGUACCCACACUAAAAAUAUUAAAUACUCUUCCUUUCUGAAAAUACAACUGAAUACAUUUAUAAAAUAACAACAUAAUACAGAAACAAGUGAAGACAAAUAAAUGGAAAAUGAAGCAAACAGUUAAAAAGAAAAAGGUAAACAUUACAAAGUGAAGGCUACAAAGAGAGUGAAGAAAAAAAAAGUGUUGCAAGGUAAUUAGAAACAAAAAAUAUAAAAUUAAACAAAAAUCAAUACCUACUUUAUGUUCUAAUAAUAUAGUAAACUAAAAAUUCAUAUUUUAAGUCAACGAAAAAUUAGGAAGAAAAAAAAAUUGCCAGUAUGGGGUUCAAAACCAUGAUGAUUGCAAUAUUAGCAUGAUGCUCUAUCAGCUUAGCUAAUCAAUCAUACUACCAUGUGUGAAAUUUUAGCUUGAAAUAAAUUAUUUAAUUUUUUA